AUUGAACGCUGGCGGCAUGCUUUACACAUGCAAGUCGAGCGGCAGCGCGGGGGGCAACCCUGGCGGCGAGCGGCGAACGGGUGAGUAAUGCAUCGGAACGUAUCCUGUAGUGGGGAAUAACUCACCGAAAGGUGAGCUAAUACCGCAUAAGCUCUGAGGAGGAAAGCGGGGGACCGAAAGGCCUCGCGCUGCAGGAGCGGCCGAUGUCCGAUUAGCUAGUUGGUGAGGUAAAAGGCUCACCAAGGCGACGAUCGGUAGCUGGUCUGAGAGGAUGAUCAGCCACACUGGGACUGAGACACGGCCCAGACUCCUACGGGAGGCAGCAGUGGGGAAUUUUUGGACAAUGGGGGAAACCCUGAUCCAGCCAUGCCGCGUGAGUGAAGAAGGCCUCGGUUGUAAG
rnacentral:rRNA from 1 species